rnacentral:rRNA from 1 species
CCUACGGGAGGCAGCAGUGGGGAAUAUUGCACAAUGGGGGAAACCCUGAUGCAGCGACGCCGCGUGAGUGAUGAAGUAAUUCGUUAUGUAAAGCUCUAUUAGCAGGGAAGAAAAUGACCGUUACUGAAUAAUAAGACCCGGCUAACUACGUGCCAGCAGCCGCGGUAAUACGUAGGGGGCAAGCGUUAGCCGGUUUUACUGGGUGUAAAGGGAGCGGAGACGGCAGGGCAAGUCUGGAGUGAAAGGCGGGGGGUCAACCCCCGGACUGCUCUGGAUACUGUACGGCUGGAGUGCAGGAGAGGUAAGUGGAAUUCCAAGUGAAGCGGUGAAAUGCGUAGAUAUUAGGAGGAACACCAGUGGCGAAGGCAGCUUACUGGACUGUAACUGACGUUGAGGCUCGAAAGCGUGGGGAGCAAACAGGAUUAGAUACCCGGGUAGUC